UGUUGUUAUCUGCUUCAGCUCUGCAUCUUUGCAAGCUAUGUUAUUGCUGGCUCAGAAUUGUGUGACAUCUCCACAAAAACACUACCUCGCGCUUGGAUGAGUAUGGGAUUGUGAAGUGGUCCCUCAUUGGUUGGACUGUUGUGAGUUCUUAUUGAAGCGGAGGUGGUGGUGAGCAUGGAGACGCUCAUUUUUGUUGUUGUUGUUGUUGUUGUUUGUCACAUCCUUCUACAUGGACAGAGACGACACUUUGGCUUUCUUGGCCAUAUGAUUGUUGCUCAUUCUGAUUCAAGCCUCUCCACGUUCACAUGGAUAGUUAAAAGAAGAAGUCGACAACGCUUUGUUUCAUCUCUCUAUAAUCCAGGUUAUGAAAGUAUGUCUUUCUACAUGGAGGAAAAUGAGACAAUUGCAUUGGUUGGAGGCUUGGAGCACGGUUUAUCGGCAAAGUCUCUUGGAGUACACAAGUUCUUCAAAUCCAAGAUGGAAUAUUGUUAACACAUUUUGUAACAGUUUAGGGUUGGAGAUGGUCUUAAUUUGCUGGUUAAGAGGCUUUGGUUUAGGCUUGGCAUAUGUACAUAAACCCUCAAUUGUAUAUUUUACAUAAUUAUAAGGUCAUCUCCAAAAGGAGACUCUAAAGAG
rnacentral:lncRNA from 1 species